GGUACGACUUCCGGUUCUAACCAUUGCGAGGCGGACCGUAUUUAAUACGUCUUUUCUUCUCCCUCACCAAGUCAUAUGCUUUUCCUGUCCUUCAUUGGAGAGGGAAACGUGUGACAAUGGUGGGGAAUCAGGGGGGAAAGGAGAGGUAUGGGAUUUAUGUGGACGAUCAACAUCGAGAAGGCCACCCGCAUGCGGUGGCUAACUUAUAUCGAACAUGGUUCUUGCCUUUUACCAGAACCAUCCGGGUGUUGUCUCCAUUUUCUCUAAAACAGGUAGCGCUGUCCUUGGGCUUCGUCCUUGUCCUCCGAACUGGAAACUUCCCUCCUAACUUUUUGGAACCUCUUCUCUUUUUGAACUUAGACUGUUUCUUCACAGAAACUGCUGGGCUAAAACCUUUUUUCAAAUUAAAUAUCAACUACGCUCUCUGAUAGCUAAUAUCAGAGAACCACCUCUCUCCU